rnacentral:rRNA from 1 species
AAUGAACGCUGGCGGCGUGCUUAACACAUGCAAGUCGAACGAAGUCUUCGGAUUUAGUGGCGGACGGGUGAGUAACACGUGGGAACGUGCCCUUUGGUUCGGAACAACUCAGGGAAACUUGAGCAAAUACCGGAUGUGCCCUUCGGGGGAAAGAUUUAUCGCCAUUGGAGCGGCCCGCGUCGGAUUAGCUAGUUGGUGGGGUAAAGGCCCACCAAGGCUACGAACCGUAGCUGGUCUGAGAGGAUGAUCAGCCACAUUGGGACUGAGACACGGCCCAAACACCUACGGGAGGCAGCAGUGGGGAAGCUUGCGCAAUGGGCGAAAGCCUGACGCAGCCAUGCCGCGUGAAUGAUGAAGGUCUUAGGAUUGUAAAAUUCUUUCACCGGGGACGAUAAUGACGGUACCCGGAGAAGAAGCCCCGGCUAACUUCGUGCCAGCCGCCGCAGUAAGAC